rnacentral:rRNA from 1 species
ACGCACGCUGGCGGCGUGCCUAAUACAUGCAAGUCGAACGCAUUUUCUUUCACCGUAGCUUGCUACACCGAAAGAAAAUGAGUGGCGAACGGGUGAGUAACACGUGGGUAACCUGCCCAUCAGCGGGGGAUAACACUUGGAAACAGGUGCUAAUACCGCAUAAUUCCAUUUACUGCAUGGUAGAUGGAUGAAAGGCGCUUUUGCGUCACUGAUGGAUGGACCCGCGGUGCAUUAGCUAGUUGGUGGGGUAACGGCCUACCAAGGCUGCGAUGCAUAGCCGACCUGAGAGGGUGAUCGGCCACACUGGGACUGAGACACGGCCCAGACUCCUACGGGAGGCAGCAGUAGGGAAUCUUCGGCAAUGGACGCAAGUCUGACCGAGCAACGCCGCGUGAGUGAAGAAGGUUUUCGGAUCGUAAAACUCUGUUGUUAGAAAAGAACAAGGAUGAGAGUGGAAAGUUCAUCCCUUGACGGUAUCUAACCAGAAAGCCACGGCUAACUACGUG